AUGGCCGAUUCCGCCGAUCCAACCCCGUCCCCGCCGCCGCCGGAAGCCUCCCCCGCCGCCGCCAAGCCCGUCUCCGUCGAUCCGGCCCCGGAGUCGGCCUCCCCCGCCGCCAAGCCCGUCUCCGCCGAUCCGGUCCCGCCCCAGGCCCCGGAGGCGGCCACCCCCGCCCCCGCUGCCAAGACCGUCUCCGCCGAUCCGGUCCCGCACCAGGCCCCGGAGGCGGCCACGCCCGCCGCCGCCGCCGCCGCCGCCGGGCCCGAUCUGGACGGGCCGCCCCGGAGAUCCGCCACAGCCGGCAAGCUCAAGAAGCCCUUCACCGACAAGCUCCGCGCCGCCGCGGAGGAGCGCCUCGCGCGCAUCCCGGUCGACCUCCGCCUCCGCCCGCUGGACCCCCCGCCGCCCUCCAUCUCCAACCACGAGGCCGCCCUCCGCGCCCUCGGCCUCCUCGACUUCGCGCGGUUUGACCCCGGAUCUGAGCCCCCGCGCCCCGACCUCGUCGCGCAGCUCAUCGCCUAUUACGACCGGAUUAAUCAACGCAGCUUCGUCUGGGACACCCGCGUCAGUCUCAACCGCACGGAAUUGGCCAACGCCUUCUCCCUCCCGAAAAAGACAGUCGGGCCGCCCGCCCCGCCCCGAGGGUUCAAAACCGCGGCCUUGGUCUCCGCCGCCCUGGAGUUCAUGCGCGUCUGCAUCCAUCCCUGGUUCACGGACUGCACACUGCCGCAGGAGGUGGCCGGCGGGGAACAGACUGUGAAGGAUGGGUCACCGCAUAAGGUUAACUGGGCGGGCAUCAUCUGGGGUAUCAUCGAGAAGGAGAUUCACGAGCUGCCCGGGAGGGAUGAUGGGGUGUGCCAAUACGGGGCGUAUCUUCAGCAGCUCAUCCGGGUGCAGAAGCCGCUGCUGUUUGAGCUGCCGCAGAAAGAGGAGGCAGGGAAGCUUGUUCGGAAGGUGCCUUCUGAUUUAGUUAAGGACGAGCGGGAUGGAGACGCAGAUGCCAGGAACAAGGGCUUGCAGGAGUUGGAGCCUAGAGAUGCAGAUGCGGAUGCGAGCAGCAAGGGCCCGAAGGAAUCUGAGUUAGAGGGUGUGAGUCUGACCAGCAAGAGCUUGGAUGAAUCGGGGCCCGCAGAUGCUGAUGCUAGUGGUAAUGACUUGAAGGAGUUGGAGUCUGGGGAUGUGAGGAGCAACAUCUUGGAGGAAUCAGAGACAGCAGGUGUGGAUUUGAGGAGCAGUGACUUGAAUGAGUCUGGGGAUGCAAGGAGCAACAUCUUGGAGGAACCAGAGACAGAAGGUUCGGAUUUGAGGAAGAAUGACUUAAAGAAGUCAGAUUCUGGGGAUGCAGGGAGCAAGAGCAUGGAUGAAUUGGCGGAUGUGGAUGCUAAUGCAAUGAGCAAGUCACUGGAUACAUCAGUGGUGGCGGAUGGGGAUGCAAAGGGCAUGGGCUUGGAUGUUGAGAUGGAGUCAGGGGAUGCUGAUGCUAAUGCAGGGAUCAAGUCACCGGAUACAUCUAAGGUGAUGGAUGAGGAUGCUAAGGGCUUGGAUGUCGAGAUGGAGUCAGGCGAUGUGGAUGCUAAUGCAGGGAGCAAGUCGCUGGAUACAUCAAAGGUGAUGGAUGAGGAUGCAAAGGGAUUGGAUGUUGAGAUGGAGUCAGGGGAUGCAGAUGCUAAUGCAGGGAGCAAGUCACCGGAUUCAUCGAAGGUUAUGGAUGAGGAUGCAAAGGCCUUGGAUGUCCAAUUGGAGUCGCAGGCUAUUGAUCCUAAUGCAAGCAAUAAUUCGACGGAUACAUUGAAGGUGGUUAAUGAGGAUGCAAAGGUCAUGAGCUUGGAUGUCGAAUUGGAGUCAGGGGAUGCAGAUGCUAAUGCAAGGAACAAGUCACCUGAUACAUCAAAGUUGGUGUAUGAGGAUGUAAAGGUGGACGUGGAUGCUAAUGCAAGCAGCAAUAGACUGGAGCCACCAAAUGUGGCUGAUGAGGAUGAUGAAUUGCAGUUGGGGGAUGUGGAGAGAUUGGAGACAUCGAAGGUGGCGGAUGAGGAUGUAAAGGGCAUGAGCUUGGAUCAAUCAAAGGCAGGGGAUGCCAUGGUGCUGGAGGAAGCUGUAGGUCCUACACAUGAAAUGAAUACUGUGAAUUGUGAGGUUUUGGCAGACUUUGCAUGGGAGGAAGGUGAAGACACGAUUGUGGGUGCAGCAGAGAAGGAUGCAUGUCCAUCGCCGGAGGUGGAACUGUUGCCACAGGAGAAAGUGCUAGUAGUGCCAGAGGAGGAUGAGGAGGCCGAAGAGGAAGAAGAGAAGGAUGAGGCAGGGUGGAGCUCUGCCAAUGAUGACGAUGACAGUAUGGAUGUCGAAGAUAAUGUAUCUGUCCAAAAUCUGGAUACUGAUAAUGAGGAGGCGGAGGAGUCAGAGCAUGAUGCAUUUGAGGGGUGUAGUGGUGGAGUGGAGAUGAACUGGGGUAUUGGGGAUGACAAGGGGGGCGAGGGGACGACGCAUUGUUUACAGCAAUGUGACUUUCCAGGGGUGGAGUUUGAGAAUUUGAAUAAAGGGAAUGUUGGGAUGAGGGAUGGUGUGAGCUUUGAUGAUGGAUUCAAAAUGGGUUCCUUGCAUGGGAUGGAGUCAAACCUCCUCCAGGCUAUGAACUCAGAUCCCGCGACAUACAAUGGCACGGAGAAUGCACAUGACCUGUCCUCUGGAAAUUUCUUGGCUAUGGGGGCUGAUGCACAUAAGAAUGGAGUGGACCUGGGGGCUGGCAAUUCAUUUUUCUUUGGCAAUAAUAAUGGGAAGAGGCACGUUGAGGAUAUUGAUGAUGGGUACGAUGACCAGAUGCAAACACAACAGCAGUUUCUGCAGGGCAAUCAACAUAAGCGGAUGCGGAACUCCAGCAGUAGUGUACCACCUGGAUCAGCAUUCUUCAAUGCAAAUUAUUCAGAACCCAUACAGAACUUAUUGGUCAAUGCCAGCAUGUUAUAUGAACAGAAAGAGAGAGAGAUUCAAGAGGCGCUGUCACAGAAGCAAUUCAUGGCUAACUUGCUGCAGGAGAAGGAAGCAAUUAUCCACUCACUAAACUCAGCCAGGUUUGAGCAAGAGAAUAAGUUGCAAUCAAAGCUUAGGUGCUUUGAGCAUGAUCUGAAUGUGAUGGGUCAGUUGGUCAGUGGGUAUAAGAGGGCUUUGAAACAGAGUCAUGCUUCUUUCAAUGAGUACAGGAAGAAGUUCCCUUCUAACGAGUUCCGUUAUCGUGAUGUUCCUAAUGGCGGCGGUCUUGUCCUUAGCGUCAGGGAGUUGGAGAGGGAGUUGGAGAGGAAACGGUGUGAGGAAGAGCAGCAGAAAAUUGCUGCAGCAAAUGAGAUGAUUGGAAAUUUCAAGCUUGAAUGGUUGUCAAAGCCUGAUGAUUGGGAAGAUCGCAUCAACCUUUUGUGGCGCAAAACUGAAGGGCUGGCUCGGGAGCUUGAUCUUCUCAAGGAAAAAAGAAAAGCAAAGCUUGCAGCCCUUGCUAGGGAAGAAUGA
rnacentral:rRNA from 1 species